UACGUAGGGGGCAAGCGUUGUCCGGAUUUAUUGGGCGUAAAGAGCUCGUAGGCGGUUCCGUAAGUCGUGAAGUCAAAUCUCUGGGCUCAACCCAGAAUCGCUUCUGAUACUGCGGUGACUGGAGUCCGGUAGGGGAGUGUGGAAUUCCUGGUGUAGCGGUGAAAUGCGCAGAUAUCAGGAGGAACACCAACAGCGAAGGCAGCACUCUGGGCCGGUACUGACGCUGAGGAGCGAAAGCAUGGGGAGCGAACAGG
rnacentral:rRNA from 1 species